rnacentral:rRNA from 1 species
AUUGAACGCUGGCGGCAGGCUUAACACAUGCAAGUCGAGCGGGGAAGUGUAGCUUGCUACAUUACCUAGCGGCGGACGGGUGAGUAAUGCUUAGGAAUCUGCCUAUUAGUGGGGGACAACAUUCCGAAAGGGAUGCUAAUACCGCAUACGUCCUACGGGAGAAAGCAGGGGAUCACUUGUGACCUUGCGCUAAUAGAUGAGCCUAAGUCGGAUUAGCUAGUUGGUGGGGUAAAGGCCUACCAAGGCGACGAUCUGUAGCGGGUCUGAGAGGAGGAUCCGCCACACUGGGACUGAGACACGGCCCAGACUCCUACGGGAGGCAGCAGUGGGGAAUAUUGGACAAUGGGGGGAACCCUGAUCCAGCCAUGCCGCGUGUGUGAAGAAGGCCUUUUGGUUGUAAAGCACUUUAAGCGAGGAGGAGGCUUACCUGGUUAAUACCUGGGAUAAGUGGACGUUACUCGCAGAAUAAGCACCGGCUAACUCUGUGCCAGCCGCCGCCGUAAGAC